CGCGUGGCGGUGACCUUGUUGGUAGCGCGCGGGUCUCUGCGGUCGAAGACUGUGGGUGAAAGCUUCUCUCAGCUCGGCAGGACGCGGGCCCCGCCGUCCGGGGUUCCUCGUGCCCCGCCGCCCGGGGUCCCCCUCGACCCGCCGCUCGGGGUUCCCACAGACUCCCCACCCCCUGGGCGACUAGUUCCUGGGUGGCGGGCUGCUAAGGGAGGAGCUCCUUCGGAGAUAGGUGCUUUCAAACCCCGUUCCCCCUUUUUUUUUUUUUCAAGAAGAUGUUGGGGGUAGGAGUUUAUUAGUUAAUUUAUUUAUUUUGGCUGUGUUGGGUCUUCGUUUCUGUGCGAGGGCUUUCUCUAGUUGUGGCAAGCGGGGGCCACUCUUCAUCGCGGCACGCGGGCCUCUCACUAUCGCGACUUCUCUUGUUGCGGAGCACAGGCUCCAGACGCGCAGGCUCAGUAGCUGUGGCUCACGGGGCUAGUUGCUCCACGGCAUGUGGGAUCCUCCCAGACCAGGGCUCGAACCCUUGUCCCUUGCGUUGGCAGGCAGAUUCUCAACCACUGCGCCACCAGGGAAGCCCCGUUCCCCUUUUUUUAAGCUCCGUAUAAGCAAGGAUUCUUUUUUCCUGGUUGAAAUGGGUUGCCACAUUUAUAUUGACUCUUUUAUUGCUGUAAAAUGUACCAUUUUAACCACUCUUUGUUUUUUCAUUUUAACCACUUUUAAGUGUGCAGUUCUGUGGCAUUAAGUUUCUUUAUAUCGCUGGGCAACCAUCCCCACCCUCCAUCUCCGGCACGUUUUCAUUUUUUUAAACUGGAACUCUAUUCCUUACAGAGUAACUCCCAAUUUCCCCCUUCCCUUUGUAAAAAUUUAUUUUUAGCUUUAAAAUGAUUCAGGUGUCAGUGAAGACAGGAGUAUGUGAUAUAAAUUCUCCCCCUCUGGGUGCUGCACCCCCCCCCCAGUUCUGUUCCUGAAAGUAUCAGCAGAUAGCUUUCUUACCCUUCGGUGUUUCUUGGAGAUCAUCUCCGAUGAUCUAGACUUGCCAUAACUUGUCCACCGUGUCCCCUGUUGGUUGACGGUUGGGUUGUUACCAAUUUUUGGACACAAGCUGCUUUUUUGUGCAAGUUUGAGUUCUUCUGUAGGAGAAAUCCCUGGAAUUGGCAUUGCUGGGCCCAGCAGGAUGUGCCUAAAGUAAUGUGGAUAGCUUCUGGCAAGUUCCCUGUGCAAGUUCCUUUGAUCAUUGAAGAGCAGCCACCAAAGCAAGGAAGCCCGAACCUUCCCCAGCACAGCGGCUCCCCCUCUGCCUGACACCUGAAAAAUGCCACUGAAACUUCUUUGAAGAGUUGCUGGUGGGUUGCUCUGGACAGCGGUCGCGGUGUGUUCCCUGAGCCACAGAAGAAAGGUCACCCGUGAACCUCAGUGAUUUAUGCUGUGCCGUGGUAGUGAUGCGAGGGACAGCACAGACGUUCGUGACACAUCUGUUUUGCACCAGGUGAGGAAACAGCAGGAAGACACCACCUGUGAACCUCGAAGGGGCUCUCACCAGACACUGAAUGUGCCAGCACCUUGAUCUUGGACUUCCAGCCUCCAGAACUGUGAGAGCUCAGUGGUGGUUGUUUAAGCUGCCAGCCUGUGGUGGUGUUUGGCAUAGCAUCCUGAACAGACUAAGACGGUACUACGUGUACGUGAUUUAGAGAGUGAAUUACCAGAUGCCCUUCUAUACGCCCCCGCCCAGGUUCCAGCUCACCGAAGGCAGCCACUUUUAAAUCUCUCAUGCUUCUCCGUGUUUCUAAAUAAUCUGCUUCUUUUCCCUCUUUUUUUCUCUCUUCCCUUUAUUUCCGUUUUCAAUGGUGUCUGUUGAUUCCCAGCAAGUAGGAAUGAGGGAUUCUCUUCCAACCCCGCCACAGUCCUUCCUCCCCGUACAGUUAAGUGUUCUCAGCGUUACGAUCGUGUAAACCAUGUUCACGGUUGAACAUGUAGGCAUAAAUGCCUGACUGUGUGCAUGUGGACAGAGGCUCCCUCACGUAGUGGGGAAUCUUGAACAAACAAGCCCCCUGAAAGAGGGCUGGACGUAGACCCCCCAGGCUGACACGGCGAGCCCCAGCUCUCCUGAAUGGUCAGUCUACAUGCAAGUAUAAGAUAAACUCAUCAUAGGGCGUCUAUUUUCUGGUUUUUUUUUUUGUCAGAGAGGUGUGGGUUAAUGCCCGUUGGGUCAUGGUGAGGGUGAAAAACCAGACGGAGAAACUUUAAGACACAUGUCCGCACGUUCCGAUUUGCUCCAUUAAAACGUGUUUCAUAGGCAUGGUGGUAGGCGCAGGGAAAACGGAGUCAGCUUGAAGUGUCAAGGUCGAGGGGCAACGACGAAGCCUGGGGCAUCUCCCACAGUCCUCCUCAGAUUUCCUGUCUUGUUUCAGAGCAUUUUUUUUUUUUAAUGUGGUAAAAUAUACGUAACGUACAAUUUACCGUCUUAACCAUUUUCAAGUGUGCAGUUUGGUGGCAGUAAGGGCGCUCCCGUUGUUGUGCAGCCAUCACCACCAUCAUCUCCAGAGCUCUCUGAUCUUCCCACACUGAGCCUCUGUCCCCACCAAAUACUGACUGCCCACCCCUCCUCCAGCCCUGGGCAGCCACCCUUCUCCUCUCUGUGUCUGAAUUUGUCUACUCCAGGGGCCUCAUAUAAGUGGAACCCUAUAGGAUUUGUCCUGUGUGUCUGGCUUAUUUCACUGAGCAUAAUGUCCUCAGGGUUCAUCCAUGUGGUAGCAGGUGCCAGAAUUUCCUUCCUUUUUAAGGCUGAGGAAUAACAUUCCGUUGUAUGGACGGACCUUAUCCAUUUAUCCAUCAGUGGAUACUUGUGGUGCUUCUGCGUCUUGGCUGUUGUGAGUAAUGCUGCUGUGAACGUGGUGUCAAACAGCCCUUAAAGUUCCUGCUUUCAGUUCUUUUGGGUAGAAUUGCUGGCUCAUACGGUAGUUCUGUGUUUAAUUUUUUGAGGAACCUCCAGACUGUUUUCCACGCGCCUGCACCGUUUUACAUCUGCACCAACAGUCACAAGCUUCCCGUUUGUCUGUGUCCCCACUGACCCGUGUUCUUUUCUUUUCUUCUUUUUCUGUGGUAGCCAUCCUAAGGGCUGUGAAGUGUGAACUGGUGUCUCAUUGUGGUUUGAUGGGCAUUCCCAGAUUUCCUUUUAUUUGUGGUGAUUUCUCAGUGUGGAUGAGAGAGCACGUGGGAUGGCGUUUCUCAAACGCUGGCGUGCGUACCAGUCACCCAGGGAGUGUGCUGCAAUGCAGGUCUUGAGUCAGGAGGUCGGGGAGCCUGCCUGUGCAGCCAGCGCCCAACGUGUCGACGGCAGAAGCUGCUGGGUGAGGGCCACACCGUGAGCAGCAAAGGUAGAUAACACGGUGCACAGGGGCCCCGCGGUCAGGCCAACCCAGUGUGUGGGUAACUUUCUUACCCGCAGAGAGCAUGUUUCCUACAGCAGAGCAGUGCUCCCUGAAGGGACUUAAUGGAUGGGAGGUGACUUGAAAAGAUGAUACGUGUUUGUACGUAGAUGUUUCUUUAUUGCCCUUUCGUUUCAAUUCAGUCCACUCUGGAGAUGCUCAGCAGCGAGGUUAUUCCGGAACCUGGGACGUGGGAAACGCCAGGGAGUGGAGCAGUGGGAGAUGGGACGGGAGGGUCUCCUCCCGUGGGGGGAUGCCCUUGGGGGAGGGAUUCGCUGCGUACAGGAAGGGUGACACUGCAGAGGUGAUGAGGCUCAGGUAGGCCCCACCGCGAGGUAGCACACAUGGGUGACGCAGACGGUGUGGUCCGGGGCAAGCGUGCGGAAGAGGAGUCGGGGGCGGGGGCAUGGAGGAGUGACACUGGAGGCGGGGCGUUUUGGCGGUGGAGGCGGUGGGAGCGGCUGAGCGGGGGGCCGGUGGUCCUCCAGGAGGAAGUUCCUCUCUCCUCCAGGCCCGCCCGGCAGCCAGGCGGCAGCCAGGCCCUCGUGUGUGCUGGCGGGAGCGCCCAUCCAGAGCGAGACGGGCCCAGUGCCCCACCUUUCACUCACCGCCUUGUUUCUCCUUGUCCUCUUCCUCAUCUUCUGGAGUCCCAUGGGACUUAGCGUCUUGGCCCUGGAAAUAAAGGGCUUGAACUCGGCGACCUCUGAAGGCCCAGGACUCUGACCCUGUGCCCGCACAGCGAGCCCGUCUCUGUGGCUCCCGGCGCUGGCUCGAGGCUUUUCUGCAAAGGGCUGGGUGGCAAACACCAUUGGCUUCCUGCAUCUUCCAACUCGGCUGCCACAACCUGCCUUUGCUGUGGCAGAUCCAGAGCAGCCCUCGAAGACGAGCAAGUGACAUGGACACGGAGGUGUGAAUCUCAUAGAAUUUUCAGGCCGCAAAAUCUUCUUUUGACUUUUUUGGUAUUUUUUUUUUUUUUUUUUACAGUGGUGAAACAUACAUAACACAAAGUUUCCGUUUUAACCGCGUUUAAGUAUUUAGUUUUAAGAGCAUUCACGUUGUGGUGCAACCAUCACCACCAUCUGCUUCCAGAACUUUCUCACCGUCUUAAACUGAGACUCUGUCCCCAUUAAACACGGACUCCCCGGCCCUCACAGCCACCAUCUACUUCCUGUCACUCUGACUGACUCCUUUAGGUCCCCGUGUCAGUGGAAUCAUACAGGACAUGCCUUUUUGUGGCUAGUUUAUUUCACUGUGCAUCCUGUCCUCGGGGUUCACCUGUGUGGCGAGCGUCAGAGUUUCCUUCCUUUUUAUUGCUGAGCAACGUUCCAUUGUACAGAUGGACCACACUUUAUUCAGCCAUCAGUGGACACUGGGCUGCUUCCACCUUUUGACCAUUGUGAAUAAUGCUGCUGUAUCUUUUUUUUUUAAAUAUUUAUUGAUUGAUUUGGCUGCUCCGGGUCUCAGUUGUGGCACGUGGGCUCCUUAGUUGCAGCACGCGGGCUUCUUAGUUGCGGCCUGUGGACUGUUAGUUGAGGCACGCAUGCGGGAUCUAGUUCCCUGACCAGGGAUCGAACCCAGGCCCCCUGCAUCGGGAGCACGGAGUCUUAGACCACCAGGGAAGUCCCUGCUAUGUCUUUUGCUUUUCUUUGAUAUAACCAUCCUCAGCUCUUGGGCUGUCCAAAACAGGUCGGGAGGGCUCGGUUUGGCCCCUGGCCGUGGCUCACUGACCCUGCUGUCAAACAAAACGGUCCCAAAUCACAUUCUCUGCUCCGCUUUGCGUUGCCUUGUAAGUAUCCAGGAACCUCCCAGGCUCACCAGCCAUCCCCAUCUAGAGAAAACGGAUCUGGGUGGAGUCGCCUAGGGCUGAGGGCUGUCUGGCUCUGCAGGGAGGACGGUCCAGCCCCUGCGUCGGCUGGACCAUGUCCCGGUAGUCACUGCAGGGGACACCCGCCCUCCUCUUUUCUUCUUGAUAACUUUUUUCCCCCCAGAGCCAUUGUUUCUGGGUAAAAGUUUUCCCGUUUAUUAAGGAAUGUUGGAUGCACAUAGAAGAAUACAGGUCAUGUGGUCAUUUAAAGCAUCAUAAAAUGAAGCCGUAGCCUCUACCACGUACUUGGAGAACUCCGACCGGUUUCCCCAAGUACCUGGUGCAUCUCCCAUCCUGGUGCCCUCGCAGAUGAUGCAAGGAGGUGGGUGGCCCUGCUUUCUGUGAGGUCUUGUCCCUGCAAAGCACUUCCCGUGUCUGAGCCUAGCUCUUCUCAUAGUUAUGUCUCUGAGGACUCCUGACUCUUCCUUAUAGGAUGAAUUGCGUGUCAAGAGGACCCAGCUGCAGAGGACCUGCUGGCAUCCUGGGAAGGCGAGGAUGACAGAGUAGUGGGGUUGGUAGCAGAAAUGGAGAAACAGAGCUCAGUUCACGCCCCACGCGAAGACUCGUGGGAGGUCAUCCUGGCCUUCGUGCUUUGAGGCUUUCAAAAUUACCUUCCAUUGUCUCCCUCUUCAGGGAAGAGCUGCGUAACUUUCUAAUAAUCACAGAACGGAAGGUUCUGAACCCUUCAGAGUCCUUCGGAACUUGGCUGAGUUGUGCGUGCUCCUCUGAUCAUUCACAAACUUUCAUUGGGGUCCUCCUCCAGCAGGUGCUGUGUCGGGUGAGGGGGGAGGUUGGCAACCUCCUUGUGGAGGUGAGACAGCUUCUAAAAAUUGAACCAAGGGGACUUCCCUGGUGGUGCAGUGGUUAAGACUCCGCACUCCCAGCGCGGGGGGCCCGGGUUCGAUCCCUAGCCAGGGAGCUAGAUCCCACGUGCCGCAACUAAAGAUCCCGCGUGCCGCAACUAAGGCUUGGCGCAGUCAAAUAAAUAAAUAAGUAUUAAAAAAUAAGACCGAACAAAAACACAGCAGAGAGAGUGGCACGGGGGGCCACGGGUGGCAGCGGCGGGUCGCCGGGAGAUGCACAUGUAUGCUGUGGUCCCACGGGCGUGGCGACAGCCUGGAGAAUGAUGUGACUAAUUGUCUUGAGAGCAAAGCCAGCUGGUGACAUGGAUGCCCUGGAGCGAGGGCUGUCUGUGGCCAGGGAGACCUCUAAACGGUCACCGCGGUGGCCUGUGACGCUGUCCUCUUCUGUGACGUAGGCUAAGGAGAAAAACUGUCACAGACAGUGACGGUCUGGAAUGGAAGGUCUGGACCAGCAGGGGAGUGGCAGCGAACAGAGUCUGAGGCCUGGAGGAGUGAGGUGCGAAGAAAGCCCAGGGUGCGUCGAGGGCCCAGGGCUGGAGACGGAGGGGGGGCUGAUCGUGGCCAAUUCCACCCAUGAAAAUUCUAGAAGGUGCCAUCGAAUCUGUAGUGACAGACAGCAGAUCAGUGGUUCCUGAGGGGCUGGGGUGGAUGGGUUAGGAAGGGGCAGGAGAGAGCUUCCUGGGGGUGCCUACGUCUCCUCCGUCGAUGGGGGAGGUGGCGUCACACGUGCUCAUCACACGGGGGCGCCAACGUAGGGGCCAGUGACCGUGCGCCAGCUACAUCUCCGUGACGCGGGUUUGAUGGCGCAGGAUUUUCUGUGAGGCCCAGGUGGAUGUUUGUGAGCUGAAGGGCUCAGGGAGGCUGGGAGGGGCUCGCGCUGUCGGCUGAGGGUGACGCUCUCAUGGUGUCAGAGGCGUUGGCUUUGCCCAGCUGCUCAUCUAAAAGUCCUCGCCUUCAGUCUUGGAACCGAGAGGGCAGCGUGGGAAGAAGUACCACAAGUGGGGGAUGAAGCUGAAUCUGGAGGAGGGCGGAGUGCGGGUGAUGAGCCCCCUCCCCUCCGCCUGCUCGCGUCUUUUUUUUCUUCUAAUGUAUGGAUUUUAAAUGUAUUUAUUUGUUUAUUUGGCCGCGUCCGGUCUUAGGGGCAGCGCACAGGAUCUUUCAUCGCGGUGCAUGGGCCCACCUUUGCAACAUGCGGGCUUCUCUCUAGUUGUGGUGUGCAGGCUCCAGAGCACGCAGCCUCAGGAGUUGGGGCGCGUGGACUCUAGGCUCUCUAGUUGUGGCGCAUGGGCUCUAGAGCGCGCCAGUUCAUUUGCCCCGCGGCAUGUGGGAUCUUAGUUCCCCAACCAGGGAUCGAACCCACGUCCCCUGUGUUGGAAGGCAGAUUCCUAACAACUGGACCGCCAGCUAAGUUCCUCGUGCCUGACGUUUGCGUCUCCGUCCUCGAGGAUAGGCCCAGCGUACGUGUGCACAUGUUCAAGAAGCAUGAGUUUCAGGAGCGUCGCCUGAGUGCAGGGCCUCCUGCAGGGGCUGAUGCCAUCGUGAAGAGACUCAGAGGCACUGUUUCCGCCAGCACCACGGCCUGAGCCCUAACCUCGUCCGUCUGCGUGGCCCCUGCUCCGCCUGUAUUGAAAUGACUGACGUUUUCCCAGGAGCAGCUCACUCUACCCUGGAUCCCAUUCCCAGCUGCCGUGUCUGACCCGAGCUUGGAUCUCCGCUCUGCCGUUGGCCAGUGGGCCUCCCACAGUCCCAGCCUCUGUGCGCUCCCCUUCCCUACAGAAUCCUUUCUCUUGGAGCCUGUCGGGAGGUGACACACCUGGCGGGGAGCCAGCAUCACCCUGGAGGCCCCGUGUUUGGACAUGGGAUCUUUAUAGAGGGGAUUAAACUAAA